CAAAAAAGUCGUUUGCUUGUAUGUAUGUGUGUGUGCCUUGUUGCUCCACUUCUCCUUCUUUCAUUUUGCCGUUUGGAUCCAACCAAGGAUGGCAAUGUAGGAGCAGGAACAGGAGUUUGAGAAGAAGUUGCACACCAAGAAGGGGUUAUUUUAUGACAAGAACAUUGGCCUAGAAAAGGUGGCGACCGCAACGCUGAGACGCAUCGCAAUGCCUGAUAAUGUGAUAAGGUGAGAAGGGGAGGCACACUAAUCCGAUUAUGCUAUAGUUUUGGAAAAGGCAAGCAAAUGGGGAAUUUUGGGAUUGG
ensembl:antisense_RNA C02F4.12 ncRNA